rnacentral:rRNA from 1 species
GACGAACGCUGGCGGCGUGCCUAAUACAUGCAAGUAGAACGCUGAAGAGAGGAGCUUGCUCUUCUUGGAUGAGUUGCGCACGGGUGAGUAACGCGUAGGUAACCUGCCUUGUAGCGGGGGAUAACUAUUGGAAACGAUAGCUAAUACCGCAUAACAAUGGAUGACACAUGUCAUUUAUUUGAAAGGGGCAAUUGCUCCACUACAAGAUGGACCUGCGUUGUAUUAGCUAGUAGGAGAGGUAAUGGCUCACCUAGGCGACGAUACAUAGCCGACCUGAGAGGGUGAGCAGCCACACUGGGACUGUGACAGGGCCCAGACUCCUACGGGAGGGAGCAGUAGGGAAUCUUCGGCAAGGGGGGCAACCCUGACCGAGCAACGCCGCGUGAGUGAAGAGGGUUGUCGGGUCGUAAAGCUCUGUUGUAAGUCAAGAACGGGUGUGAGAGUGGAAAGUUCACACUGUGACGGUAGCUUACCAGAAAGGGACGGCUAACUACGUG